CCGGAAUUUGAUUUCACAAAAUUGAUACCUUUGCUAUCCAUAUGUUUUUCAAAUAUGAAAAAAAUUAGACUGCUUUUGCAUGUCCAAGCUCCACAACCAGAAAUUCUAAUAAGCCUGGUGGCCUAUUUCCUGGAUUUGCAAGCCUCCUGGGGUGGUAAGUGUAAUUAGUCGGUGCAUCUAAAGAUAAAUGGGAAUAUUUAGAAUUGGACAUCGAUAUGCAUUGAAUAGAAAAAAGAUUAUGUGGGUUACUCAUUUCAUAAAAGAAAACUAAACUUUCUAUAACUACUUCAAUCCCUUACAAACGAGGGUUAGAUUGACAUUUACUUUUUCAGAAGUUUGGUGUCCAGUUGAGAUGACCCAGUUGAGGCUGCUGAUAUGCACCAACUUGCGCCCCAGGAGCGGCUGGGGCAACCCCAACUCCAACAUUACCACCAAUAACUGGACCCAAAUGAUGUGGAUUUGCCAUUGCGGCAGGUGUUGGAGGAGGGGGAGGAUACAAGCCUGGGAAUUGCAUGUGAGAAGAUUGUGCUGCAGCUGCAUUGAAGGAGGCAUGGCCAGUAUGGGAUGGCAAGUAAGCAGCAUGAGGCGUUUGCCCAGGCAUGUUAUAGUAUGGACCAGAUUGCAAACCUGGAAGCUCUCUUGGAUUUUGAACCCAAAUCUCAGAAGUCUCGGCCUGUGGAUUAGGAACAUAGAGAUUCCCAUCUUUGUACUUGAUCCGAGAUGAAUCUUCAAGCCCAGUUGCGCUUCCAACAACACCAGGAGCAUUGAUGGCAUACCCAGUUGGACUAGUGAAAUUUCCAAACCCAGUGGGACUGCUGCCAGGAACUGGCUUAAAUUGCUGGAUUCCAUAUUUGAGCCCAUUUGCGCUGAGAUGGGAACCACCUCCAGGCAUUAGCAAGUAACUGCUGCCAUUUGAUGGAUGCGGAUAUGCAGGGUUGCUAGAAUAGCCAGGCAUGGCCAUCUGUGGAACAUAAACUGGAGAAAGGAACUGACGAUAUGGCAUAAGAUUGGCAAAAUGUGAAACAUGAACUUGAGGGUACAUCUGGGCCAUUGGUGGCUGUUGCUGCUGCUGUACCAUAGUUAUAGUUGAAGUUGGCAUGCUGUUGGCCAUAUGUGAGGUUAAGGCCUCCUGUGGUGAUGGUAGACCCUGUCCACGUACAGUUUCAUCAAUUGGGGGUCUGAAAUAUGAUAUAUCAUAACCAGUCUGGGGAUCAUAUGCCGAAAAGCUUGGUAAUUCAGGAGGAUCUUGCUGGCGCUGCUGCUGUGACUCUGAAGGUGUAUAGGAAGGACUAUUGUCUCGAACUAAACGAAUAUCAGUAUAAUUGUCCAAAUUUGGUGGACUUGAAGACUUAUCAGGUAAUUGAUGCUCAGACACUGCACCCGAUGCUGGAGAAUCAGAUCCAGAGUUUCUAACUUGUUCAUCUAGUAACUCUACCUGCUUGUUGCCAGAGGCAUCAUCACUUGAGGACUCUGGUACAGAUACUGACAAGCUUGCAGCACAUUCUGCAUUAGAUUCUUCUGUAACUCCAGCUGCUUGAAAUCCAGGUGCGAUAUUCCUGGAAGAAUCAAACUCUGUCCCAAAACUGCCAAAGGUCAGCCUGCACCUAUCAGUUUCAGGGACUCGAAUAUGUUGUGCUAUGAUCACAUUUUGAUUUUCAUAGACAUUCACUCGCAAAAGCUUAUCGUGAAAAUCAGAUACAUCAUAUUCCAAAUCCUUAGAAUUGUCAGCAGGAGGUAAACUAGAUUUUGUAAGUGUUCCAAUCACUCCAGGGCUGCCAACACUUGAUUUUUGGCUUGAUUUUGGUUUCCACUCCUUAUUAUGCUGAGCAGCUUUUUGAUGACCCACAGCUGCUUGAUGUGGCCUGCUAUACUGAUUGCUUAAUAGUGAUCUGCUGACAGAAAUACUUGGCAUAAUAGAUUCAGCAGAAACAGUUUGACUAACUUGGUCAGUUUUAGAAAUUGUGGGGAAAGGUCGAAAUGAUUCUGACAUUGAACCAUCCCUUCCCAAAACUGAAUUUGAGAGAGAACUGCUAGACACAGAUGAAUUUUUUAUUGCAUUUUCAGAAGAAUGUCUACGACCACCCACCACCCCAACCUCACGCUUAAUAGCUCCAACAGCAGCAGACGAUCUAGAUUCAGGAGAUGGCACAUGAACAGGAUCUGUUGAAGAGGAAUACACCCCAAUAACAGAAUUGCUUGAUGCCAGUGUUGCAGAAUGAUUUUGAGAAUUGGGCUUUAUUACUUGUACCCGUGAAGCUGAACUAGUAAUCACAGUCCGCUUUUCCUCAAGUACUAAUUUCCUGUCUGAGACAUUUAAGGUAGUAUCUCUGGUGUGUCUAGAUUGAAAAUCAGUAAGCCCAUUGGAAGCUUGAGUCAAACUCCGCGUGCCAGAGGGCUUUAUAUUGCCUGAAGUUCCUGACAAGUUGCCCUUUUCAGCAACAAUUGCAAUUCCUUGCUCACUGCGGGAUGUUGAACCUUGCUGCAAGGCAGGCUUUGGCUCUCCAGUUGUAUUUUGAUUAACUCUGUUGUCUCUUACAACACGGAACUCUCUAUUGACUCCUGCAUUACCAGGUACAGCUGUUCGAGUGUACCCACCUUGUCGAACAUUACGAUCAGAAAAUGUACGAAAUUUUGUCCCUUGACUCAAAUUCUCAGAAUUUUUUCUUGAAUCCACAGUAUCCCUGUAACCCAUACUCUGAGGCCAUGAGCAUAUAAAUGCAUGAGUAAAAUGUUUGAUCAUUUUAAAGCACUCGCAUUAAACUAACACAGUAUCCUUAAUAUACAAAAUUGAACUUCAAUAGGAAAUGAGAAUCUUGAACUACUAAAUACUGAGCACAAGUGGAUAUCACAAAAACCAGCACAAGGUCCACAAGACACAAAUUACUUUAGCUAAGCAACAGCCUAGCAAUCUGCACAGGUUCCUCAUAGCUAAACGAGAAGCAACCAGAGAAAUAAAGAAAGAAAGAAAGAGGGGGUUUGAUGAGUGAGGAGGUGAUUAAUUGCAAUUAAACAGUAAAGAAACAAAGAUAUAUACAAGAUUAUACCUCCUUCUUCUUGUCUCUUCUACUCUUCACCUCAUGAAAUGGAUCUAAUGAAAACCAAAUAAGAAUACACUUAAAUAUGAGAAUUAUGGUGGCAACAGAUUAAAAGUUACCAUCUGAUAAUGACCAGAUAAGGGAAGCAGUCAGCAAAACUCCAAGAAGGGAAUAAAGCACAGCAAAGAAAAAUAUAUAAUUUAUAAGAAUUAUUGCAGCAUUAAGGAAUGGAGGUUUUAGUAUCUAAGGAUUAUAUAGCUCCCAAACAAAUCCACACAACAGUGCUCCUAAAAAGUGCGAAUAUACUCAAUUUAGUAGAUAAAAAACAGAGAAAAAAAAAUAGAAAAGGAAAAAAGAACUCAUUAUUUUACGUAUAACAAAAAAUAAAACAUAGUCAAACAUCCUGAAAACUAAUCUUCAUUAAGAAUGUGGAUUUAAACCCACAAACCUUCAUUAGGCUACCCUUAAAUACCUGUUAACUUCAACUUCUACUUUCAUAACCCGCACAAAUGAACAGAAAUGAUUCACCAAAAUCCAAGAGAAUCACAAAAGAAUUUACAAAUUAACCCCAAAACUCCCCAUUGGCUUCCAACUUCCAUAGUCAGAGCGAGCAUAUGACAACCACCACCCACCUUGAUUGAGCAAUUUUUGGGCGGUCUCAUUAGGAUCCAUAUUGGUCUCUUUAAGGGCGAUAUAGAUAUCAGCAUCAGAGAAAUUGCCCACGAUUUCCUUGAUUGAUUGUAUCGUUUUCCUCAUUCUGGCUGAGAGUGUAUGCGUCUGUGAUUGCGUCCCAGUAGUAGUAGCAGCAGUACUAGUGCUAACAGGGGCGACCAUCUCUCAAUAACACUCUUCACGAUCAAAAUCAACAACUGUGUGAAGUGCCCACUAAACCAAACUGCUAAAUAUAAUAUGGGUCUACGUCUAUAAUCUUGAAAGGGUAUUAGAUAAAGACUAGGGUUUGCAUUUAUAUGAAGAAAAGGGAGAGAGAACGACUUUGGGCGGAGAAAGGGGUUUGAGCAAGCGAGGGUUUUCAAAACAUUUUUACCCCUCAAUUGACUUUCGAAUUGGAACUCUUCGAUUUGCCCUUUACUUUUACUUGUAUUUCCUUUCUGCCCUUCCCCUCGGAAACUUUUGCCGCUAUUUUGCAUUUCUUAAAAAAUCUCCAGAAUAAGAAAUAUUUAGAUAUAAAUAUCUCAUAUUUUGUAAAUUUUUUUAUGAUUUUUGUGGUAUUUAUACCUGAAUCCAUUUAAUAAUUUUGUUAAUUAUUAAGUUUUAAUGUACAAAAAAUUUAUUUUUAUAUUUUAUAAAAUAAAGUAAAAUUAGGAGUUCUCUCCCAAAAAAAUAGUAGUUA
rnacentral:misc_RNA from 1 species